rnacentral:misc_RNA from 1 species
GAAGCAGCCGCUCUUCUCCUUCACCGCAACACUUUUUUUCCCACAGGCUCUCUCGCAACCUACAUACAUUCUCUUCAUCUCUCACUCCCCCCAACCACCGUCCUCCGCGCCGAAAAUGGUCCUCAUGGAGAGCCUCGUGCUGGAGAAGAAGGGUGAGCUGACAAUUCGCGAGGUGGAUGUGUGCGACGAGCUCGGCCCGCACGACUGUCGCGUGAAGAUCCACAGCGUGGGCAUUUGUGGCAGCGACGUGCACUACUACGAGCACGGCCAUAUCGGACCCUUCGUGGUGGAGAAGCCGAUGGUCCUUGGCCACGAGGCGUCCGGCACGGUUGUAGCGGUGGGCGCUGAGGUGAAGAACCUGGAGACAGGCGACCGCGUUGCGCUGGAGCCGGGCAUUCCACGCUGGAACUCUGCGCAGACGCUGAGCGGUCUGUACAACCUGGACCCCGAGCUGACGUUUUUUGCGACACCGCCGGUGCACGGGUGCAUGUCGACGACCAUCAUCCACCCCGCCGCACUGUGCUUCAAGCUGCCUGACAACGUGAGCUAUGAGGAGGGCGCGUUGUGCGAGCCGAUCGCUGUUGGCAUGCAUUCGGCGACGAAGGCCAGCAUCAAGCCAGGCGACGUGGGCCUCGUGAUCGGGUGCGGCACGAUCGGGAUCGUGACGGCGCUGUCCGCGCUUGCGGGCGGGUGCUCUGAGGUGAUCAUCUGCGGCUCGCGCGACGAGCGGCUGGAGAUCGCGCGCCGCUACCCUGGCCUACGCGCAGUGAACACGUCGAGGGAGGGCGAGCUGAAGCGCGCCGUUGCGGAGGCGACGGAGGGCAACGGCUGCGACGUUGUGUUCGAGUGCGGUGGCGCGGCAUCGGCGUUCCCUCUGAUCUACGAGCACGCCGCGCCUGGUGCGACUUGUGUGCUUGUGGGGAUGCCGGUGGAGCCCGUGCCGGUGGACAUUGUGAUGGCGCAGGCGAAGGAGAUCACGUUCCAGACGGCGUUCCGCUACCGCAACGUGUACCCUCGCAUCAUCCGCCUGCUGAGCUCCGGCAAAAUGGACGUGAAGCCGCUGAUCAGCGCCAAGUUCGCGUUCAAGGACAGCGUGAAGGCGUACGAGCGCGCGAUGAACCGAGACCCGAAAGACAUGAAAAUUAUGAUACAGAUGGAGAACUAGUGCACCCGUUGGCUGCGCGGCGCUCGUUGGCGCCGUCCCCCUUCCCUUCCGUCCUUCUAACUAUUCUUAUUCGAACUGCUCUCCUGUGCACUUGCCAGCCUUGGCCUUGUUUGUGCCGCCUCUCUAUUUUUUCCGCUUCCCUUCUCCGUCCUUUUCUCGUGCCUCUUCCCCGCUCUGUCUUCUCCUGCGUUUUGCAG